rnacentral:rRNA from 1 species
AACGAACGCUGGCGGCAGGCCUAACACAUGCAAGUCGAACGCCGUAGCAAUACGGAGUGGCAGACGGGUGAGUAACGCGUGGGAACAUACCCCUCGGUUCGGAAUAACUCAGGGAAACUUGAGCUAAUACCGGAUACGUCCGAGGUUUUAAUCGGCCUUGGAGAAAGAUUUAUUCGCCGGAGGAUUGGCCCGCGUCUGAUUAGCUUGUUGGUGAGGUAAUGGCUCACCAAGGCGACGANCAGUAGCUGGUCUGAGAGGAUGAUCAGCCACAUUGGGACUGAGACACGGCCCAAACUCCUACGGGAGGCAGCAGGUGGGGAAUAUUGGACAAUGGGCGAAAGCCUGAUCCAGCCAUGCCGCGUGAGUGAUGAAGGCCUUAGGGUUGUAAACCUCUUUCAGCUCCGACGAAGCGAAGUGACGGUAGGAGCAGAAGAAGCACCGGCCAACUACGUGCCAGCCGCCGCGGUAAC